rnacentral:rRNA from 1 species
CCUACGGGAGGCAGCAGUAAGGAAUAUUGGGCAAUGGAGGCAACUCUGACCCAGCCAUCCCGCGUGAAGGAUUAAGGCCCUAUGGGUUGUAAACUUCUUUUGUUNGGGAAGAAAUCUGGACAUUUAUGUGCAGUUGACGGUACCUUACGAAUAAGCACCGGCUAACUCCGUGCCAGC